rnacentral:lncRNA from 1 species
AACCAAACCCAUUACUUGGUAACCCGGUAAGUACACUCCCUUCGAUCUUAUCGCUGCCGCCCUCCUUGUCUCUGCUUCUCUUCCUCCUUUCCCUCUCUGCUCCAUCUACCUCCUAUCCCUCCUAUUCCUCGGUCGUAACAAUCCCCUCCCCUUAGCACAUCCUUGUCCUCAAGGAUCGAACGCCGGAAACUGCGAGAUUAGGAAACGGUAGUCCUCCCAGGUCGCCGACUCUUCAGGCAAGUUGGUCCAUUUGACCAAGACUUUGGUAGCCGCCCGAUCUCCUGCACGGACCAUCUUCCGCUCCAGUAUCCUUUCUGGUUCUGCAAGUAACUGCCCUUCCUCCCCCACCAACGGUAUUGUAGGGGUCACUUGUGCUUUUUCCUUGGGACUUCUUUUGAGUAGUGAUACAUGGAAAACUGGGUGGAUUUUUGAUCCCUCAGGUAACCUUAGCCUAUAAGCGACUGCCCCGAUCUUCUCGGUUAUCUCGUAAGGCCCAAAGUAGCGUGAACAAAGCUUAAGGUUUUUUCGAACUGCCACCGAGAGCUGUCGAUAGGGUUGCAAUUUCAAGUAUACCCAAUCUCCAACUUUGAACUCUCGAUCUGUUCGCCUCCUGUCAGCAAACUGUUUCAUACGAUUCUGAGCCUUUUGCAAAUUGUCCCUGAGCUCCCGUGUUAGCUUCUCCCUCUCCUUUCCCCAAUCCUGUACCACCCCCACUGUACUCUUAUCAAGGUUACCAAUCAUAUAGUUAGGGGGCGAUUGCCCGUAAAGAGCCUGGUAAGGAGAAGUCUCCAAGGAUGUAUGAUAAUUGGUGUUGUACCACCAUUCAGCAUGGAUCAACCAGUGAAACCACUUCCUGGGGUGUUGGAAACACAAACAGCGAAGAUAGGUUUCUAGACAUCGAUUUAAUCGUUCCGUCUGUCCAUCUGACUGUGGAUGAUAUGCGGAUCCCAUGUGUAGUUUAGUCCCAAGCAACCCGAAUAGUUCUUGCCAAAGCUGACUAGUAAAAAUUCGAUCUCUGUCCGAAACUAUGACCUCCGGCAGCCCAUGCAAGCGAUAUAUAGUAUCAAAGAAAGCCUUGGCCACCUCUAUGGCGGUGAACGGAUGGGUCAAUGCGAUGAAAUGUCCAUACUUGGACAGUCUAUCUAUCACUACCAGAAUAGAGUCUUUACCUUCAGAUUUGGGCAGCCCUUUGAUGAAGUCCAUGCUGAUUGCGCUCCACAUCCGAGUAGGAAUGGGUAGUGGUUGAAGUAAACCCGCAUACAUCGAAUUGUCUGACUUAUUCCUGAGGCAGAUUUCACAUUUCUCGACAUACUUCUUCACAUCCUCCUUCAGUUUUGGCCAGUAGAACACUUGUUUCACUCGCUUAUACAUGUGUUGCCUACCGGAGUGCCCUCCUAACGGAGAGUCAUGCAUCUCUCGUAGUAUUCUUUCUUUCAAUUUCCCAUCUUGUCCUAUAUAUAUCCUCCCUUUGUACCUGAUCAGCCCUUGUUUAAGCGUAUAGUGACCUUGGUCCGCAGGAGUCUGGAGUGUGCACUUAGCCAGCAGUUGCUUACAAUGAUUAUCUGUUUCGUAACUCUUACUUACUUCAGUAACCCAUUCCGGAACGGCUCCCGUCACUGCUUGGACCACCCCUUCCUCCACCCCUUGUCUCGAUAAGGCAUCAGCUGCGCAAUUUUCCUUUCCUUUUCGAUAUUGAAUCACGUAAUCUAAGCCCAUGAGUUUGAGUAGACCUUUUUGUUGAAUGGCGGUGUUAAUUUUCUGCUCCAAUAGAAACUUCAAGCUCUCGUGGUCCGUCUUUAUUAUAAAGGGCUUUAAGCUUAGAUAAUGCCGCCACUUUGUCACAGCGACAAGAAUAGCCAAGAACUCUUUUUCGUAGGUCGAUAACCCUAGAUUCUUCUUACUAAUUGCUUGACUCAGAUAGGCUAUGGGCCUCCCUCCUUGACUCAGCACGGCUCCAAUUCCUUGGCCACUGGCGUCUGCUUCUAUCUCAAAAUGCUUCGAAUAGUCAGGCAUGGCCAGCACAGGAGCUUCCGUCAUCGCUUUUUUUAACCUCUGAAAUGCCGAAGUCGCGUCUUCACUUCAUUUAAAACUGUCUUUCUUCAAGAGCUCUGUUAGGGGUCGGCUUAUUAUCCCAUAACCUUUGACAAACUUCCGGUAAUACCCGGUAAGCCCCAAGAACCCUCUCAACUCUUUUACAGAUCUGGGUAAAGGCCACUGGAUCAUGGCUUCUACUUUACUCGGGUCUGUCGACACCCCGUCCUCAGUGAUUACAAAGCCCAAGUAAUCUACUUGUUUCUGCCCAAAGAAACACCUCACCCUUUUGGCAAACAAGCUGUGAUCUCGUAAUAUUCCCAGCACCUCUUUCAAAUGUUCCACAUGCUCCUGCAGGGUCUUACUAUAUAUGAGUAUAUCAUCAAAAAAUACUAAUACGAACUUUCUCAAGAAGCGAUCAAAAAUCUCAUUCAUGAUAGCUUGGAACGUGGCCGGCGCGUUAGUAAGUCCGAAGGGCAUGACCCGAAACUCGUAGUGGCCGAUGUGGGUUCUAAAAGCCGUCUUCGGAAUGUCGCUAGGAUGCAUGCGGAUUUGGUGAUAUCCCGAACGCAGGUCAAUUUUUGAGAAAUAUUUUGCUCCCCCCAACUCAUCGAGUAAAUCCUCAAUAAUGGGAAUCGGAUAUUUAUCCUUCACUGUGAGCUUGUUUAACUGUCUAUAGUCGACGCAAAAGCGCCAUGUUCCAUCCUUUUUCUUAACCAAGAGCACCGGAGAUGCAUAGGGGCUAUGGCUGGGCUGAAUGAUCCCUGUUUGUAACAUUUCCUUUAUCUGUCUUUCCAUUUCAUUCUUCUGCUCAAAGGUAUACCUAUAGGGUCUAAUGUUAACUGGCGAAGACCCGGUCAGUAAAGGUAUCCUAUGAUCCUGGCUCCUAGUAGGAGGUAGACCCUGUGGUUCCUGGAAAACAUCCCCAUAUUCCCGCAACACCUCCUGAAUGGAUUCGGGUAUGUUCUCUUCUUUUCCGCUAUCUGGCGGAAUCCACUGUGCUAUUGCACAGCAACUGCCCAACUGAGGUUCCUGCAGCAGCUGUUUCGCGGUAAUACUUCGCAAUUGGGCCUUUUCAGUCAUUCCCUUGAGGUGGAUCUUCUUCUCCCCUUUAGUAAUAAUGACAGUAUUAAUCUCAUAAUCGAAGGUGAUUGGCCCGUGAGCUUUUAACCAGUCGAUCCCGAGGAUCAUACUUGACCCUUCAAGCCUUAUCACUCGUAAGUCGGCCGAGUACUUUUCUCCUUGCAUUUCCCAAACGUAGUUGGUACACUUAAGCUUACUUAGUACCUUUUGGCCAUUGGCUACUGUUACCAAUAGUGGGUUAGUAGUGGUUAUGCUGGCCUUGGUCUCUUUCGCGAUUCCGAUAUCAAUAAAACUGUGUGUGCUCCCGGUGUCCACCAGAAUGGAUAAAGUUUUUCCUUUACUUUCUCCCUGUAUCUUUAUUGUAUCUUGACUGUCCUCGGCACUUAGGGCAUGAAUGGACAAUCCCAAUUCCUCGGCUUCUUCUAAUUCAACUUUGUUUUCUCCUUCUACCUCUUGCAAGCUAAUCUCAUCAUAGACUUCAGUCACCUCAGGAACGGCUUGCAGGGCAUUCACAACUUGCUGUUUACAAAUAUGGCCCGGGCUGUACUUAUCUCCACAUUUGAAACACAGUCCCGCCGCUCUUCUCUGUUCGAUUAAUUGCCGGUUGGGAAAAACCUUUUCUGCUGCAAACUUGGGUUGGUUCCUGGUGGUAUCGGAAUAUCUUCCCGACGUUGCCGAACCUAUACCCUUGUAAUUGCUUGAAGGAUUGGUGAUACCUGCCAGUUUGAACAUUUGCUUGUUCCUUUUCAUCAUAGCAGCAAUGGUUUGUUCCUGCAAUUUAGCUUGUUCAAAAGCUUGCGCUAAUGUGCGGGGAUAGAGCAUCUUGACGGCCGACUUAAUCUCCUCCUUUAGCCCACUUAAGAAGCUGGAUAAGAAAUAACUUCCGGAGAAUUGUGAAUCAGUGGUAAGGAUCCGCGCUCUUAAUUCCUCAAACUACUCUUGGUACUCUUCUACUGUCCCUGUUUGUACCAAUUUGUUAAAUUCCUCCACAGCAUCCACUAACCCCUUAGUAUCAAAUCGUUUACAAACCUCUUCAGAGAAAUCUACCCAACUGACCAUUCCUUUCUCUGCCAGGUAUCCUUGAAACCAAGUAUCAGCCUUAUCAUCCAAAUGCAUUGCGAUUAAUUCCAUCUUCUGGUGCUCCUUAAUACCAUAGAAUUCAAAGUACCUCUCACAUUUUCUCACCCAACUCCUUGGGUUGUCAUUCAUGAACAUAGGAAAAGCUAAUUUGGGAUAUGGAAAUUGAGAACCGGAUCGAUUUAUAGUAGAUUGUAUAUGAUGAUCUUCCCUUGUAUGAGAAUGAGAUGGGUUUGGUAAUAUACCUCGUUCCUCUGGAUUGGUUGAAGAAGUAACUCCCUUGGUUGAUGAUGCUUGUGGUAUGUUCUUCAGCAGAUCCAUAAUCUGUUCCAGCUUCUUGGAGGUGUUCGCAGAAUCUCUCUUCCAAUCGUCAUAAUGGGACUGUCCCUCGGUACGUAUCGCCUCCAUCCGACUUGCCAGUGAUUCAAACUUCCUCUCAUUACCCACUGCUAACUGUUGUAGUUGCUUCUCUAGCACGUGAACAUGUUCAUCGAGCAGCUUCAAACGUGUUCCCUCGGCCAUCGCCUUGCUCACGAAUUUGAAUCGGUUACCUCUCGCCGACCCAAUUGUCGCUCAAUCGUCAGCUGGAUCCACCUGCAAGAGUGUUGCAGGCACCAGGUGGGAACUCGAACAGAUGGUGGGCGUGUGAUUUCCCAACCAAUUCUGUGAGUUCAAGAACCGGGGUCGGCUCUUACAGCGGCUCCCUUUGUCCAGGUUCACCCAAAGGCGAUCCUAGCAACUCGGGAAGCUGUGUCGACGUUGGAUUCAACAGUUUUUGCAAAACCGGAGCCCUUGCGACUGCGCUGUACCGAUCCCUGGGAUCUCAACAGCUCUGAUACCAACUUGUUAUGAUUCCGACCACCGCGCAACCCAAUUAUGGAUUGAUGGAUGGCGCAAUGGGAUGAAGAAUCGGCUUACCUGAUCCGAUGCCUCGAUCUGAUGAGGAUGAAACCGAGGAUCGUGGAUUGGAGAUGAUGAUAAACAGUAUUCAAUCGAAUACUGAUCGGGUAUCAGUUGUGCGAGAUCGAUAGCUUCGAUUGAGAAUGGAUCUGUGCUUGAGAUGAGAUAGAAUUGGAGUGAGGAAGAAGAAGGAGAGAUAGAGAAGAGGAAGACGAGCUAGAGAGAAAGAGAGAGAGAGAGAGAGAGUUGGGGAGAAUGGGGGAUUUUUAUUCAAACUUCUCAUAGUUUGUUACAGGUAGUUGCUACUAUUUAUACCCCUCAAUAUGGGGACCAAAAUGUAAAAAGAGUACAGUAACAAGGACUGCAGCUUAAUUGUGUUUAUACUUAGUGGUUCCGAUGGGCCUGAUCUAAUUGAGAUUGGAUUGGGCCCCUCCCAGGCUUACCGCCAUCAACUAAUCCUUCCGGAGUCGGAUGCUUAAUGGAUCGGUUGAAGUAACCAAACCCAUUACUUGGUAACCCGGUAAGUACACUCCCUUCGAUCUUAUCGCUGCCGCCCUCCUUGUCUCUGCUUCUCUUCCUCCUUUCCCUCUCUGCUCCAUCUACCUCCUAUCCCUCCUAUUCCUCGGUCGUAACAGCGGUAGGCGAGCCGUACGGUAGACGGAAAGAAUGGAGAAGCUUCGCCGGCGACGCGUCGACGAUAUAUAGCAUGGCGACACGGAUGCACAUUAAUAAGUGCAAGGCGUUGUGGUGGAGUGGGCUAAUUAAUGAAACCGCUGAGGCAACAGAGAAGCCCUUAGCCAAAUUAACGCGUGUGUGCCACAUCAUGCACAAAAUUGGAUUUCAUUAGAGUUGUGCCAAACAUGAAAACUCUCGAGUUUUCAACACAAAAACAAUUGGGAUUUAAUUAGAUUUGUGCCACCUCAUGCUAAAAAAAUAUUAAAAUAUAGCAGUUAAAUAUGAGAAUAAAAAUAUGAGGUAAUUAUUGCAGUAAAAUAUGAGAAUAAAAAUAUAAGAAGUUAAAUAAUAAGCUAUAUUUAUCUAUAUCUAUAUCUAUACUACUUAUAAAAGCAUGAGUUUUAAAUUUUUUCUCUUUCCAAAAAUGUCUUUAUCUUUUUUACUAAUAUUGUCAUGCCCAGUAAUUUUCAACCAUCCAUUUUAAAUAAAUCUUUAAAUAAUAAUUUAUUCUCAAAUAUAGAUCUUAAGCUUUCGCCAUUGGAUCUCAUCCAACGAAUAAAAAUAAAAGUAUCUGUUAUUUUUGUUGACAAAAAUACCCUACAUAUCCGUUAUCUCCCAUCUACGCCGUGUUUCUCAAAAAAAAAUUUUCUACCUACCAAUCAUGUAAUACGUAAAACUAAACUUAUCUCUUAUCUAACCUAACGUAAUACCCGCCAAUCACCUAAUACCUCUGCUAAUCACUAAAAAUAAUUAAUACCCGCCCAAUCAAAACUAAAUCGUUAAUUAAAUAUAAUUUUAAAUAUUUUUAGCAAAAUAUUCAAUAUUUAAAUAAUACCCACCAAAAUAUUCUCUGCAUUCUCAAAUAUAAAAUAUAUUUUAUCCAUUUUAAAUAAAUCUUCAAAUAAUAAUUUAUUCUCAAAUAUAGAUCUUAAGUUUUCGCCAUUGAAUCUUAUCCAAUGAAUAAAAAUAAAAGUAUCUGUCAUUUUUGUUGACAAAAAUAUUAUUCAUAUCCGUUACUCAAAUAUUUUUUUUCUAUCCAUAAUACGUAAAACGAAAUUUAUUUUUUAUCUAACGUAAUACCCGUCAAUCACGUAAUACCUCCGCUAAAUUUAUUUCAGUGUUUUCUCAAAUAAUUUUUUUCUCAAAUAUUUUUUUUCUCAAACAUAAUAUCUACCAAAAUUAAAUUUUAAAUUUGUAAUGCCCGCCAAAAUUUAAUACCCGUAAAUUUGAUAAUUUGAAUUUUAAUUCAUGAUAGUAGAUAGUAGAUUUUUCCUUAAUUACAUAAAAUAGUAGAUUUAAUUUUGACGAGUAUUAAAAUUUGGCGCGCCAUAGAAGUGUUAAAUAUUGCUAAAAAAAUUUAAUACCUCCAAAUCAAAAAUAAAUCGUUAAUUAAAUAUAAUUUUAAAUAUUUUUAGCAAAAUAUUUAAUAUUUAAAUAAUGUGUCAUAAAAGCAUAAAAUAUUUCUAAAAAAUUAUAUUUGUCCAAUCAAAACUAAAUCGUUAAUUAAAUAUAAUUUUAAAUUUUUUUAGCAAAAUAUUCAAUGUUUAAAUAAUACCCACCAAAAUAUUCUCCGCAUUCUCAAAUAUAGAAUAUAUCUUAAUACCCUUGCAUAUAAUAUCUACGCUAACCAAUCUUAUCUCAUCAUAAUAUUUUUCACACAAUAUAUACAUCAUAUCUUUUCUGUUAGCAUAUCUUUCUUACUAUAUUUUUAUUUUCACCUAUACGUUUCUUACAUAUAAAGAAUAUAUAUUUUUUCAGUAGUAUCCUUUUUUUAUUUUUAUCUAUAUUUUUUUCAAAUAUUUUCAUUUGUUACCAAAGUACAUCGUCAUCGUCCUACUCAUUAUCAUUGCCUGUGUCGAAACAUUGUCGUGUUCGCCACCUUCGUUAUAAUUAAAGAGGUAUUUUAAUUCCAUCUAAAAUUUUUUGAUUAAAUACUAUAUAUCGAAUCUAUAAUAUUUAUUUAUAAAAAUUAUAUUUUUUAGUAUUUGUGCGACGUGCAUUGCACGUGCACUUAACUAGUAAUUGCAAUAGCUCGAGUUUGAAAUUGCAACUCAUUAAAGUUUGAAAACUAAAACUUUACGUAUCUCAUACUUUCAGCAAAAAAAAUAUAUUUCAUUAAAAUUCGAGGACUAAAGUGUUCUGUAUUUUAUAGUUUAAGGAUCAAAAGUGCAAUUUAUCUUUUUUAUACGUUAAUUUUAAUCCAAACAAAGAUAAAAUUGAGCAUCGAUCGGGUUUAUUUAUUUAGUAAUUUUAUUUGAGAAAAGAAUAUAUUAAAAUAUUUAAUAAAUUUUAGAAUGCCUACUUGUUAAAAUUAAAAGUCAACCAAUCACAUUUUGGAUAUUUCAAAAUAUUUUAAAAGUAAAAUUUAUCGUUCAUCAAACUAUAAAUAUGGUAUUUAAGUUUUAUAUUAAAAUUAAAGUAAAAACGUACAGAACUUUUCUAAAGUACGAAUUAUUUUGAAUUAGCUAUCCAACCUUUAAAAAUUUAAUUUUUACUAUCUAACCUUUUUAUAUAUUAAGUUUAAGUCACUUAAUAAUACAUUGACUUCAAAAUUUGAAUGUGUCGUUUACAAUAAAUUUAAUUAGUACUUCAUUCAAUUUUUGCAACUAAAUAUAUUAAAUAAGUAAUUAAUUUAAACUUCAUCCAUCGCUCUUUUAUUUUUUAUUCUACAAUUUAUAUUUAAAUAAUUAAUAUUAUAAAAUUAAAAUUAAAAUUUAAUAUAUAUAAUAUAAACUAUUUAAAAAUAUGUAUAUAUUUUAAAUUUUUAUAAUAAAAGAGAAAAAUUAAUAGAUUUUAAAAAAAUUAGCUUCUCAAAAUCAACAGAAAAGGAAAAUAAAAAAGUAAAAUUAAAAAUAUAUAUAAAAGAGGAAUGGGCCCACCUCGGCCAGCUCGGGCCCACCUUAUAACUCCUACCCGACCCCUUUCGCCGCCACGUGUUAAAAAACUGGGCUUUUCAAAAUAUUUUAAAUGUAAAAUUGAUCGUUCAUCAAACUAUAAAUAUGGUAUUUAAGUUUUAUAUUAAAAUUAAAGUAAAAGUGUACAGAACUUUUCUAAAGUACGAAUUAUUUUGAAUCAGCUAUCUAACCUUUAAAAAUUUUAUUUUUACUAUCUAAUCUUUUUAUAUAUUAAAUUUAAGUCACUUAAUAAUACAUUGACUUCAAAAUUUGAAUGUGUCGUUUACUAUAAAUUUAAUCAGUACUUCAUUCAAUUUUUGCAACUAAAUAUAUUAAAUAAGUAAUUAAUUUAAACUUCAUCCAUCGCUCUUUUAUUUUUUUAUUCUACAAUUUAUAUUUAAAUAAUUAAUAUUAUAAAAUUAAAAUUAAAAUUUAAUAUAUAUAAUCUAAACUAUUUAAAAAUAGGUAUAUAUUUUAAAUUUUUAUAAUGAAAGAGAAAAAUUAAUAGAUUUUAAAAAAAAUUAGCUUCUCAAAAUCAACAGAAAAAGAAAAUAAAAAAGUAAAAUUAAAAAAAUAUAUAAAAGAGGAAUGGGCCCACCUCGGCCAGCUGGGGCCCACCUUAUAACUCCUAUCCGGCCCCUUUUGCCGCCACGUGUUAAAAGACUGGGCUUUCAUUAUGUUUAUAGAUUUUUAUGCAAGUUCAUAUCCAAUUUAAGUUCACAAUAUCAAGACAAAAAAUCAAUUUAUUUAGAAAAAAAAAAAAAUGUUUGCAAAAUUAAUUCGAUCCUAUUAAAUUAUCAAAUGAAUCUAUUCAAAUUGAAAGGCAAUAAAUAAGUGCUCCAUAAUCAUUCACCCACGCUAUAUAUGAACAAGCUAAUUGAACUUUUGAGUGGGCUAUGCACUUUAAUGCCUUUUAAAAUUUAAUAUGAGAAUGCAUUUAGUUAUCGUAUUGAAAUUUGUAGAGUAGCUUUAAAACAUUCAAUAGAUCAAGUCAUUGUUUGGGCAUUUUACAUAUUUAUAAUCAAAGCACACGGGUUUAUAAUUAGUUAAUCAGGACUACCAAACUAAUUUAGUAAGUGAUUUUGAUCUCUAUUUAAUUAAUAUAUAAAUGUUAACCUUAUCUAGAUUGGUAUUUUUGCUAAAAAUUCUAAGUAUAGAAAGAAUGGAAUUUGGAUCUACUUUUGUAAAUCUUAAGGGCGAAUGUAAACUAGACUCAAUGAGAGAAUGUUGGAGAGCUUCUGUUGGAGAGUUUUCAAAGUGGAAAGCGUGAAUUCUUCAUAAUAGAAACCUACUACUAUUAUAUCAUUUUAAUCAAACCAAUCGUUUGUUUCUCGUGAGUUCAUAUUGCAGUCAUACUAGAAGAAAAUAAGGGUGGAUAUCGAGCUAGCAUUGAGACGAUAGAUUAAGUAUGAAUUUGAUAGAGCAAUUAUUUUUUUUUAUGGACGAAAUUAAGCUAAAGAUAAUGGCCUAGUACAUUGCCCUUUGUUUUCUUUAUUUCUUUUUUUUAAGCAGCAACUCAGAGCUUUCCUGACCAUGAGGGGUGAAAACAUCUUGUGCCAUCUCAAAAGAUCCGAACUGAACCCUGAAACGCUUGUAAACAUCUACAAACUCGCUCAAAAAUUUCAAAAUUUAUUGGGAAAGGAGGCAGGCAUUAAAAAAAAAAGUCCAAUUCUUUUGAAGUUUGAAGGAUAGAAUUUCGUUUUGAGUUUGCUUAGAUUAGAUUAAAGAAUUAGCAAAAGCAGUUUUCUCAUGUUGGCUUAGAAAAGAAAGGUUUAAUGUGUACAUUUUCAUUUCAGAAAGAUCUACAAAUGCCAUGCCAAUCAUGACUUUCUUAUUCUUCAAGCUAAUAUGCAUGGUGUCAUGUAAUUUGUAGUAGUUGAAUGAUUUCUCUUUUUUUUUAAAAAAAAAAACACUUUUUCACAAGUUGAUAUUCUUGUAGAGGUGAGUAAAAACUUCAGCGUAGACAUGCUAAAUUUCUAGAGUUUGAAAAUUUAUGUAGUAAUUGAGAUGUUAUGAAGACGGCUGAAGAGUGAUACGGCAUGUUCUUGUAUGUACAGCAAUUACAUUACUUAUGUUAAGUAUGAACAAAAAGUAUACCACUUAGUAAUCUUACAAAAGCAGAUAAUAACUUAGAUGAAGCUCUCAUGGUUAGGAUCUAAGUUGUAGGUGCGAUCGUGACAUAUCAUAUGUCGCACUGAAGAUUCAAGUAAGCUAAUUAAUCGAUCGGUAGGUAGAUAUAAAUCAAUUAAGCCUAAUGAGUGAUCAAAACAAACUAUAUAUGCAAAGUACAACUUGAUUGCCGAUCAGUAGGCCAUUCUCCGAUAACAGUGGCGCCAAAUUAGGUGUAAGCGAUAAUCAUAAUCUCCAACACUCCAAGAAUCAAAUCAAAACCAAUGAUUAAACACUAGAAUUUACAGUUGAUUUGUUGAAGGCCCAGAAAAAUGUAUUAGAUAUAUAUUCAGCUGGAAACUUAGCUUGAUCUCAAAGUUGCACCUGACCACAGUGGUCCCUGGAAACUUAGUUGGCUCCCAUAUACUUGAGACAAGAACAUUUGAUGCCUCAAUCCAUGAAAAAGCAACAUGAUCAUAUUUGAGCACAUCCUCAAAGUGGAUCUGUGAAAAUAUGCCUGAUUCUUUCGGUAGAAUCUUCUCAACCAAGAGACGUAAAGUUCAUAAUCCAUGCGUCGUAAUCUUUCUCACCGGAGACUUCAACAGGAAAGUUAAUGUCAUAGUGCUCUGGAAGCCUCAAAGGUUCUGAAAUUCUCAUGCCCGCUUUGUGUGGUGGAAUCUACCAAAUUGGUUGAGAAUGAUCUGGGGAACGAAAAAAAAAAAUCGCUUCCUUUUCGUGUCGCAGGCAUCUUGUUUAGUCAAACAUGUUUUUUCCUUGGAAAUUUCACGGGGUAAAACGAGUUCCUGAUUCUUGUUCACAUAUGAAAAUAAGUUACCUUGAUCGAUCAUGACAUGCAAACAUUUUGGAAUUUUUUCGAAUCGCAACUAUUACCGACAGAUUUAACUGUUUGGAAUUUUCACAAAAUAGUACACUUGUUUCCUGCUUUUGCAAUUUUUCGCCUCUUCUUACUUUUACACUAUCACUACAACAAAAUGUUUUUCCUUGCUUGGAUAUUCCUUAAAGUUUUUUACUUCAAUAUUCAAAAAUCAAAUGAAAUAAUUUCACAGUAAGAAGUUAAACUUGUGGGUCAAGAUCGGAAAUAUUGCUCGGUCCCUCUCUUUAUUUGCUUCCUAAUGUUUUUCCUUUCUCUUUCUGUAAAGAAAUGAGAUUAUUAGAGAAACUCUUAAUGGUGAAGCGGAAAUUUAGUUGCUUCAACUUCUAAAACAAAUACGAACUUAUUCAACUGUUCAGAAAAAGUAGUUUAAAUGUAAUUUUUGAGUUGAAUGUAUAAUUUCGCUUGUAAAUUCGUUUAUCAGGCACUUCUUAGUGGACUUGCUAUCUUUUCCUCAGUAAUUAUUAUGCUUUAUAGUCUUGAGAUUAGUUCAUAAAUCGACUAAUAUCUUAAGUUAAGAAUCGCUCUACUUCCCAGAAUGUCACCCAUUCUAGAACUACUGUAGUGCUAACAUACUUAACUUUCUUAAUCUCUUGGGCCUAGCCAAGUUAAGAACUUUAGCACUAUUAUAGUUUAUUAGGAUUAUUCCAAACUUUAGAAUGUCGCAUUCCUCCACUAUUUAAGCCCUGACGUCCUCGUUAGACUCGAACCCACUCACAAGCAUUAAGCAAUAUGAAACUCGUCUUGGACCUUGUGGGGAGCUGUGCUCUACCCACAAUAGUCGUCGGUCGGGGAACCACGCUCUGCCCUCUUUAUGAUCCUAGGUUAGCCAAAACUCAUCUUACAUUUUUUACUGGUAAUUAGCUCUGAUACCAACUGUGGCGCCCCACAUCCCAGAGAAACACCCAGCCUAAAACUACUGUUGCUCUCACACGCUUAACUCUCUUAACUUCUUGAGCUUUUAACCAUCGCCCAAAAUGCUACAGCCGGUUAAGAUGUUUAGCAAUAUUAUUUCUCAUUUUGAACUAUUCCAAAUAUUAGAGGUGUCACGAAAAGUGCACAAAAACUGACUUCAUUUGUGGUAUGUUAUAUAUCGAGAACAUUAAUUUUGCCUUUGCACACUUUGAAUUUUGGAUUCUCCAUAAAUAUGCAGUAGGAUUAUUUGCUAUAGAAGAGGCUAGUUGCAUACAAAAGGGCGAGUUGUACAUGUUUUUUAUCAUCUUUUUUGCGUAUAACAUUACAGUUGAGAUAAGUCAGAAACAAAAAAAAGAAGGCACGAGAGUAUCAUCAGCAGGGAAUAAAGCAUUCGAAAUUCUAUUGAGACCAGUUGUGAUAUUAGUCUCUCGUAAAAGUUUAGGAAUUGAUGAGGAGAGGCACAUCGAAUUCAUUAAAGCGGCGUGUGUAGAUGCGGGAAAAUCUCUGUAGCUGGAUUGAGAUUCUUAAGGAUAACUCAAGUGGAAGAUUUAGCUGAAAUGUUCAGUUGCUUGACCUGCAAAAUCAGUGCCAACUUUUUUAAAUGUUUUGAAGAGUCAAUCAUAUACAAAGCAGUAUAAAUAUAAAAAAUUACUUAUUGCUGUAGAAGUGUAACUGCAUGUAACAUGAGCAUUUGCUAAACAUUUUCUUUUCUUUUUUUUUCAUCUGUUUUUAUAGAUGAGAUAAAUCAGAAGAAGAAAAAUGUAUGAGAAUAUUGUCAAUGGAGUAAUGCUUCUAUACUUUUUUUUUUUUAUUACCGUUCAUUCACGCGUAUUCAACGGCUCAGAUUUAGUUUUUUUAAAAUUGUGACCUGCAAUAGUAGGUCACUUUGGGAGAGGUACCGGUUACCAGGUACCUCAAAAAAGGAUAUUUUUGUCUUUUAAUAUAUGAGCAAUUUAGUCAUUUUACAUCUAUUAUAUUUUCAAAAUUUUUAUUUUUUAUUUGUUUCCUUUUUCUCUCUCUAUCUUUCCUUUCAUAAUUUGGCAUUUCAUAUAAGAAAAUUUUCAAAUAAUUUGACAAUAUGAUCAUUGAAUUUAAACUUUAAAUAGUAAUAUGAAAUUCCUCUAAUUUAAAUUUCACUUUUAAAUUUAAAAUUUAAUAUUAUAUUCAAAUUUAUAUUUUAAAAAUUUAAGUUUCAUAUAAAUACUUUGAAAUAUGGUAAACAGAAAUAAUUGUUUGAAUUCUAGUCUUCUGGUUUAGGUUUGGUUUUGGGUUUCGAAAAAUUGGUCAGUUUUGAAUUUGGAUAUGGAUUUUUGAAAUCCGUCGAGUUCGGAAAUAAGUUUUGUGAUUGUUAGUCAGAUUCGAAUUCAAAUUCCUAACUAUUUUUUUUCUCACCAAUAAUUCUAAUCUUUUUAAUUUAUAUGUUUAAAAUUAUAUUUAAAAUAUUUAUUAGCUCUAACAGUUAAAUUAUCAUUCUGUUUAAAAUAUUUAUUAUCUUUACCGGUUCCAAAUUGUUCUUAAUGUUAUUCGGUUCAAUAGGUUAAAAUCAGAUUCUUGAUAGAAUAGGUCAAAGUCUGAUCAGUCAAAUCAAUCGGUUCAAUCUAGUUUUUAAAUCAUUGAAUUUAAAAUUUAAAUAGUAAUAUGAAAUUCCUCUAGAGAAAUCUAGUUGUAGAAAUCUUACUCUCUAAGUUUUUUAUGCAUUACGUUUUAAACUGGUGCGAAUAAACUGUAUUUUAAAUCUUGGUAGAAAUUUAGUUUUUAAAUAGUAAUAUGAAAUUCCUCUAAUUUAAAUUUCACUUUUAAAUUUUAAGUAUUUAAUUUUUAAAAUUUAAAUUCAUCGUAUUUAGAAAUAAAACUAUUUCUAAAAUUUCUAUAAUUUAAAUUAAUGUAUAAUUUGAGAAACACUAAAACAUUUAAAGUAGAUUCCUAAAUUAAUGCCUAAUAAUUGCAUAAAUUUGGUUAAUCAAUUAAUUUCCUAAAUUAGUGCUAAUUAAUGCAUAAAUUUAGGACCUCAAUUAAAAGUUUAUUUAAAUAUUGUAUUAUUUAAUUACCAAACUAACUUUGAAUAAAAUAAUUUUUUUACCUGCUAAGUAUUAAAGUUACAUUUUUACCCUCUAUUAAUCAACGGUUAAGAUCUUUUUUAUUUUUGUUAAAAAAAAGUACCGAAUCAUUUCUCUUGUCAAUGAGGAAUAAAGUACUUGAAACUCGACUGUUAGAGACGGGUUGCGAUGUUUUGUCAUGUGCAAAGUUUAGCAUUUGAUGAGGAAAGGUACUCCGAAUUCGUUAAAGAUGAGGGAAAAUCUCCGCUAGCUAGAUUGAGAUUCUUCGCGAGGAGAUUUUGAUAUCAGUGAUCUUUGGCUUUCGUGAUCUGCAUCGAAUCGAUGAGAAUUUGCGGAUAUUUGACAGCAUAAAUCUGCAGAUUGAUAUCAGAUUAGUGAGAUCUGAUAAUUUAUGUGUGGAACCAGAGGAGCCUAGAAUGUCAAAAUUCAGAAGCUAGACUUGUUCUCACAUCUGAUUUUGCUGCAAUCUUUCUUUUCUUUUUUUUCUUUUUUUUCUGUAAAUAUGAGUGGAGGAGCAUUAAAAACAUGAAUUAAGCUACUUAUGAUCAGUGUUUAGGUCUUUUGAUGAGUAUGUUAUUGCUAGGUUGCUGAAUCAAUGAUAAUGAGGAUUGUGGUCUACACUUGCCCUUACUUCUGCAAAAAGCCUCUCUAAUUUAAGAAGCAGCAGCCAUGUGUUCAACUGGAAAGGAAAAAGAAAAGGGAGUAUUUACUGUGGUGAAAAGCUUAAAUCUACUUUUUGGUCCCUAGGGUAGCUGAGCCUCAAUUUCAAAUAUCUAUCUAUGCUGUAGAUAUUUUAAUAAAAUAAUUAUUAUUGGUUGCUUGUGUUGGCUUAAAGUGACUAGCAUUCUACCCAUUAGCGGGAGUUCAAAGUUGGGCCGAGUCAUGUUCGAAGUGGCGUAAAAUUGACUGGGCCGAAUUACAAUCUAGAUGUGUGGGCGUUGUAUGCGUACGUUUUAAGUGAAUUAGUUACGUAUCUCUAACAUAUCGAACUUUUGGAAUUAAUAGUUAGCACUAACAAUCUGACAGUUUGUUUGGUCCAACUUCCAUUUCUCUUCUUCCAGUAGAGUAUUUUGAACUAGCGGGCUCGAAAUAAAUAGUACUUCUACAAAAGCUCCAAUUCAACCAAAAAGUACUAAUUUCGAAAAUAAUUUAGUUUUGAAAAAUUUUCCUUUUUCUUUCUUUUACUUAUUAUGUUGAUGCUCAAUUUACUGCCUUGAGUUGUCUUAUUUCCUCUGCUUCACUCAUCUCUUUCUAAUUUAUGGUUCUUCACUUAGUAGAUGUUAAAAAUAGUAGUGUCCUCAUAAAUAAUGUUGCAUAUUUUCUUGGAAAAUGUUCUAUUCUACUUUGACUCUCCUUAACUACUUUACUCGCAAAAGUUCUCGAUCACUAACCCAUCCAUCUCAACGUACCUUGCACUUGCUUCAAAAUAAUUACAAGUACUUAUGGAUCGCAAACACUAAUCAACUAUCUCAAAAAUAUAUGCUGAUAUAAAAAAUGUACUCAUCGCACUUUAAAGUUUAAAGUUCAACCACAAGCUCAAGAAUUUCAACCUGAUUCAAUCCAUCUGGAUAUUAGAUUUAUUAUUAAGUCUCUUUCUGUUAAAUACAUUAUAGACCACAACCCCACUCAAUUUAUUGGGUUUUCCAACUCUACUUAUUAGUCUCCUGAGUAUAUAUAUUAUCACGGGACAAAAUUAAAACUAUUUUAGCCAAUAAUAAAUAGUCAAGAGCACUUACUACUAAAAUUGAUUAAAAUUGGAUUAAGAUGCAUGGCUACUUUUUUUGGGAUCAAUUGGAGUUACAUUUUUGAGUUCAUAAAGAAUAUUACGAACUUUGUUGGGGUUACUCUUGGAUAUCAAUGUAGACCUGACAUGCAACAACAAAAAAACAAAAAUAAAGGUAAAACUUAGAAAAAAGAAAAAAAGAAAAAUGAUUAAAAUGGAAGUAGUGGUCCCCUGAUGGUUCAGGAAGCACCCUACCAGCCCAGUGGAAGUAAUAAGUAAUAUUGACUUCUUUUGUACCAUUUGUUUAUGACAACUGAGUAUGUUUUUUUUUUUUUAGUAUUAUCUUAGGUUGUAAAAACAUCCCACAUGUACACACAUGUCAUCAUGGAAUUGAUAAAGCAUUUUUGGUACAAAAGCCCUGAGCUACAAUUAAUAACAUUGUAAUAUAAUUAAUCUACACAUAUCCUAAUCUUUCAUCUGCUAUUAACAAAGCCUUUGAUAUGUGUUAGCAGUUCAUGGGUCCUGGGCUUAGAGAGAUGAUAAAAAUUAUGCAGGAUUUGAAAAGCAUGCCCCACUCCUCCAUACACUACUUGCUCCACACUUUUCCCUGCUCCCCUCAAUGCUUUACAAAACUCCAGGUUCCUAUCCUUCAAUAUAUCCAUCUCAGAUAUGCACACAAGCAUAGGAGGGAUCCUCAGCUGCUCCACCCAUGGGGAGCCCCUGGACAAGGGGUUGCACCAGGGGUGCUCGCGGCUCGCCCCCGCGGGAAGCGCCAUCCGCCAGUAGGCGUCCGACGCGGCCAGCGUGAGCGCCGACCGCGCUGCGGAUUGGACCGAAUUCCGCUCCGACGCGGUCCGCGACUCCCCGCCGAAGAAGGGCUGGAUCAGGAUGAGCCCUCUUAGCCCGGCCGACGGCCCUAGCUGCACCGCGACAUUGAACGCCACCGCCGCCCCCGCGCUGUCGCCGCAGAGGAACGCUCGGUCGAAGUCGACGUGGCUCCGCCACCACCCGCCGCUCGCCUGCUGCCUGACCCACGUCAUCGCGGCGAUUCCGUCCUGGUACGCUGCGGGCAGGCGGUGCUCCGGAGCGAGCCGGUAGUUCACCGACACGAUAACGCAGCCAGCCGUCGUGGCUAACUGAACCAAGAACUCAUGGUAGCAGCUCCAGGCGGCGGAGCCGACGCAGAAUCCCCCGCCGUGGAAGUAAACAAGGAGAGGAAGCUUCCCCAGGAGUUUGGGCGCGUAUAUCCGCGCCCAAACUCCGGUGGUCGAGUUGUCGAGAGCACUGUCCCAGCUCAUGAGAUCGGGCCCGAGGGCCCAGGUGCACGGAACGUCGGCGACGGCGGGGAGGCGGUCGACGCGGCCGUCCUUGUAGAGCCUUAUGAGCCCCUCAAUCUCCUCAACCACAUGGCCAUGGCCCUUCCCUUGUGUUUGGAAGCCCACCCGAGGGUUUGACUCACCUACAUGAAUUGCACCCAUCUUUCUCCUCCUCAUGCAAAUACCAACUUAUAGUUAGUUCUACAAGUACAUCCCAUAGGUUGUGGGGGUUAGUUUCUUAUAUAUAUUUAUAUGAAUUUAAAAAGGAUUUAUUCCGCGUGUUCGACAAGUGGGCGUCGGCGAUUCCGCCAACGUGGCGAGCUUGGUGCAAGUUAAGAACUGAACGCAACUUAAUAAGAAAGGGUUAUUAGUCACCAACCAAUAUAGAGCACCAAAGUGGGGGUGGGUGGUGGUGUGCAUUUCUCCCUUUUUCCAAAAUCAAAAAUGGCUUGUGGCUGCUGCUCCCUCCAAUGUGGAAAUUUUUGGCUUGCUUAGCCUAACUAAAGUGAACAAAAAGGCUCUACAACUUGGGUUGUGGUAAUGUGAUACAACCCUAAACAAUCUUUUAAUUAUAUAUGUAUUAAAAUUCUCCAUUGGUUCUCUUGAGUUUGUAGAAAAAUUGAGCUAAAUAAGAGGGGUUGUUAAUUGGAGUUUACUUUUUUUCUUAUUUUUAAUUUCAAAUAUAAUCUAAUGCUUCGAGUGGGCCAUCUUUAGCCCGUCUUUUUUGAAGAGCCCAUUUAUAUGUAACUGCGAUUAACAAAUGGCUCCAAUUUGGUGCCUUGGUGGAACACUUUACAAAGCACAAUAAUAAGCUAGUCGCUGGUUGUCACGCGUAUAGCAAAAUCUCUUUCCUUCUGUUCCUUAACAGUCGCACAAACUUCAACGACUAUAGUUUUGAAAGUCAAUCAGGAACAUUCUAGAAGUUACCGUAGAGCCACACAAUGGGCGCAAACGCCGAAAGAUUUUGGGCGAGCUGCCACAGUUUGGUGGAAGAUGAUAGCUAGCAGUUGCGUCUUGUUUCGUCUUAUAUAUUAGCGCCACUAGCAUUUUCUUGUUUAUACUCUUGGAUGAUGAGAGGCCUAUUCAUAUAUAUAUAUAUAUAUAUUAUAUAUAUAUAUAUAUAUAUAUAUAUAUAUAUAUAUAUAUAUAUAUAUAUAUAUAUAUAUGAAUAGUGUGUCUCAGGUCAUUUCAAACCUUUCAGUCUAAACAAAUCCCUCUAGAUCUUGAGUAAUACGACAUAAUUUUGCCGAUGAGUUUCUCUCUCUUCCUUAACUUCAGUUUUGGAGCGAGUAGGUUUUGACUAGCAAGUUAGAGGUAAUAAGUUUGCACAUCUUCGUAAAAGAAGAUAGGCGCUGCACGGGCUUGAGUCCAUGACACAGUGCUCCACUAGAAUGUGGGGACCAAAGGACCUUUUUAUAGGUUUAAAUUAUAUGGAAAAUGCUUUUAGAACCACAUGAACAUAUUGUGCUCUCUAAGUAAGACGCCGACAUAAAAUUCGAAAUAAUUUAAAGCUAUCUGGACAAUAUAUAUGUUCCACGACAAAUGAAAGACCACCUCCAAAGUGGUUGUCUUAAUCGGAAACAUAUUCUUCAAGCAAUUUCGUGCUACAAUUGAUAACAGUAUUAUUAAUAUUUAUAUUCAACAUUCUCCCUUAUAUCUGAAUGCAAAAUAUUUUAAUAAGUCCAAAACGUAAAUUUAAAUUAAAUGGGAGCUAGGAAGCUGAUAAUGCUAGGAGUUUAGUGGGACUCGGACUCUGGACCUCCUAUUUUGAUACCAUAUUAAAUUAACGUAAAACAAUCAUUUUUUUUAAUAGCUUAAACCAUUAGAGAAUGACUAUUUGCAUUUAUAUUCAACAAUUUAUAUCAUUUUCAAUCUUUUAAUUGUAAAAACAUAAAGAAUUUAUCUGAGCUAUUCACUAAAAUUUUGAUUUUAGUAUCUAGCCUUGCAUAUGAUUUGAUUCCAGUCGGUCUAUAGUAAUUUCACUUCAUAAUUUAAUGGGUCGUUUACAUUUAUAGAUUUAGUUAGUAUGCUUCAUGCAAUUCUCGCAACUAUAAAUUCACUAAAUUAAUAAUAUUUUGAAGUUAAAAUAUCAUUGCUUUACUCAAAUCAAACAAAUUUAAAAGUUUAGAUAGCCGAUUCAAAAUGGUCCAUUAUUUAGAAAAGUUCUUUGUGCAUGUUUUUAUACUUUUUAUUGUAGAAAAAUAGUUACAACUAGGGUUGGCGAUCCAGCUAGUUGUUUACAAGCCAACUCAUGUUCAGCUCAACAUUUAGCUUGAAAUCGAUCGCUUUUUUAAUAAACAAACCAAACACGAAUUGAAUUUUUUAGCUUGAAAUCUUAACGAGCCGAAUACAAACUAGAAGCAGCUUGCUUAUAUUUGGUUCACUGUAGUUUAUAUCUAUACUAUAUAUAAAAGCAUGUAUUUCAAAUUUCAGUCUGUCAAAAAGUGUAACUUUCGUUUAAAGAAUAUAAUUUUCAUUUUAAAGAUGCAGUUUACACAUCAAAGAGUGCAACAAGAGGAGAAACAGUAUAAAUAUCUGUCAAGGAGUGCAAUUUUUAUUUAAAGAGUGUAACUUUCAUUUUAAAGGGUGUAGUUUACAUUUAAAAGAGUUCAACUUACGUCCAUAAUAGUACAACGUUUUUUUAAAACAGUGUAAUUUAAUCUUAACAGUGCAAAUUCAACUUCUUGUUCCUUCUUCUAUGGUUUUCUUUAUUAUUUUCUAGUUUUUGGCCUUUUAGUUAUUUUUUUUUAUUUUAAACAAAUAAAAGUGCUAAUCCAAAGAUACUUCCGUGUAUUCCUCACCCUCCUCGCCUUCGAUACCGUCGAGGCCGCGCUCACUGCCGCCCUCUGGGGUAGGCGGGUGGGCCGCGUGCCCCCUCCUUCGCCGGCAAGCUUCUCGACGCCGAAAAAUGCUUUCUCUUUAUCAUCGACGGCGGUGGUGGGAACGCGAGUUUCCAGAAGUGAGUUUGGUGGGUGCAAAAUUCACUGCAGUAGAGAUGGAGAGUGAAAGCGAAGGAAGAUGAGGCAGUACCGUUCUCGCUAUCGUCGCGGAAGGCCGCGGAGGCGGUGGAGGAGGGUCGGAGAGAAAAAAAAAGAAAGUCGCAGCGCGGUCUCGACGAGGUCGGAGGCGAGGAGGGCGGGCGGUGCGCGGGCGAGAGUGAGGGCGUGAGGGGCAGAGACGAGAGGGCUUGUUUCCGCCUUCGCUUCCGUUACCUUCUUCGUCGAGAAAAAAAAAAAAAAAAAAAAAAAAAAAAAAAAAAAAAAGAGAAAAAGGUAUAAGGGUAUUUUGGUCAGUUUACUAAAAAUUCGGACCCAAUCUAUAAAAUUAAAAAAGACGGCCCAAUUUUGCAAAAGCUCAAAACUUGUGAAUUUUUUAUGCAAAUUGGCCUAUAUUUUAUAUACAAUAAUUCUGAAACAUCACUAUAAAUUUUUCAUAUGUAUACAUUCUAUAUGAUUUAAAUUGUAUUUUAUUGAAUUAAAUUUUAAUUGUAUAAUAAUAAUUUUUAAAAAAUUAUUUAAUCAAUGUGGUUAUGCCAUGUAUUUAAGGGAUUGAGGAUUAAUAUAUGGUGAUAUUACGAAUUUCUAUAAUUUGGAUUUUUAGGCCAACUCAAAUGUAACCAAAUCUAUAUUUUGUAAAUUUUAAUUAUUAGAUUAAGAUUUUAAUUUUUUUAAAUUUUUUUUCAACUUUUUUUUCAAUAGUAAAACUGACGAUCUAACUUGCCAGUUUAUAUUCAGCUCGUUAAUAAACAAGCGGAGUAUAAACUGAAUUUUUCAACUUGAUAUUUUAACGAGUCAACUCGUAUUCAGCUCGCUUAAUAAACGAGUAAACACAAAUGAAUCCUAACUCACUUGUGUUCAGCUCGUCGACCUUCCUAGUUACAACUAGGGUUGCAGGGAAUCCAUUUGUGGCUUUUUUUUGAAGGAAAAAAAAAAUUCUUUGAUUAGUAGACUAAUGGCCUAACUUGGCGUUGACGUCUCUCUAACUUUGUAUCCCCCAAGAUUCUACAGACACCUCGGCCAGCCGACAAAUUUUAGAAUACAACGGGUAUGUUGAUGAUGUGAUGUAAUAAACUAAUCAAAUAUCUCUUUUUAAAAAUAUAUAUAUAUGUCCAUCAUGAUUAUAAAAAAAUAUUUUGGGAAAACUUCAAAAACCUCCCAUGUGGUUUCGUGCAUUCUCACUUUGCUACCAUGUGGUUUAAAACGUAUCAAUUUGCCCCCCUGUGGUUUCGUUUUUAUCUUUUUGUUAUCAAUUUUAUUAUUAUUUUUUUUUUAAAUCAGUGACAAAAUUAAAAUUAAAGGAUACUAAAGUGACUAUUCGAUAAAUAUAGAUGGUUAUCUGAAGUUUUUUGUAUAUAAUUUAACGAAAUAUUAACGAAAAAGCUUCCGAAAAGAUAAAAAUGAAACCACAGGGGGGUAAAUUGAUACGUUUUAAACCACAGGGUAGCAAAGUGAGAAUGCACGAAACCACAGGGGGGGUUUUUGAAGUUUUCCCAAAUAUUUUUAUUGUACUUUUAUUUGAAAAGAAAAAAUACGAUUGACUUAUUAUUGAUGACGUGGUAUAAGUGUGACAAUGUAGAAUUCCUUCGGCCAGCCGCCAUGGUGUCAACUUGUCAUCUCCAAGUGAGAUAUGAUUUGUUACUGAUCUAUCCUAACACUAGUAGUAAAAAAUUUAAUAAUUAAUAAUCGAGAUCUCAAGGUUGAAGUCUAAUUAUUUUACAAACUAAAUUUAUUUUUAAAAAAAAAAAAAAAAAAAAAAAAAAGUGAGAUAUGACUUGUUGAAAAAAGAAUUUGACAAAUGUAAGUGACCUCAACUAUUUGACAUUUUGAAAGAAGCACCUAACUUUUUACCAGCUAUGCUACAUGUACACUUCAAAGUACCGUGCUUAUUUUAUACCCAAUUUAUUCAAGUUACAUCAAUUUUUUUAUUUUAGAAUUCAUAAAAAUUAUUUAAAUUUUUAUGAAUUCUAUGAUGGGGGUAUAAGAUCUACACACCUUUUUGGUGUACACAAAUAGAACUUUUUAUUUUUUUGGCAAAAAUGUAGAAAAAUCCCUGAACUUUAGCUCUUCUGUGAAAAAGCGCCUGAAUUUUUUAUUUUGGUAAGUAGACUUUCAAAACUUCGUCAAAUAGUUUAAUAGGUCUCUCUCUUCAAUUGAAUAUAACAAUUACAUAGUUAAUUUGGUCAUGUAUCUUGCAUUUAAUCUUAUAAAGGUUCAAAACAUAAAGAAAUUUACCUUUUCUAUUCUAACAUUUAAAAAAACAACAAAAGUUGAUGGUUGGCUCCCCCUCUUCUUGAAUCCUCAAGCUUAGUUAUCAAACCUAAAAGGAGAAAAAAUUACUUCUCUUUACAUUUUAUAAUUUUAUAAGAUUAUAUGCAUGACAUGAGAUCAAGGCAACUGUGUAAUUACUAGUUUGAUUUAGGAGAGGAACUUACAAAACUAUAAGAUAAAAUUCAAAAGAACUAAUUGUUAAAAUUGAACGCUCAGAUGGCUGUUUGUAAACGCGCUUAAGUUUAGGACGUCUUUAUACAUUUUUUACUUCUUUUAUUGAUACUUUUUUAACUUUUAAUUAUAUUUUUUCUUACAUUAAUUUCACGAUUUGUUUAAUAUAAUUAGUAUUUGAUUUACCAAAUUUUCUAAUUUUAUUGAUGAAAGUAACUUAAAUCAAAAGAUUCAAACCUGAACGAUGUCAACUAAAACAAAGGCCUAUAGUUUAGGGGUUGCUUUUAGAAUACCCUAUAGUUGAGGGGGUUACCAUACAAUUUUUUAAAAAAAAAAUAGUAGUAAAAAAAAGGACCUCUUUUAAUAGUUGAUUGGUAUGUGUUACACGAGCACACAAACAGAAAGAAAAACGGUCAUCGCAAAGUAGACAAAUCACAAACAGUAAAAAAAAUAUAUAGAACGUAAAGAUUUAUGUAGAAAAUUUUUUACAGAAAAUAAAUUACAGGCGUGUAAUUAAGGAGAGAACUUUACUAUGAAAAAGAAAGUACUAUAUUGUAGAAGUAAAAUACGAUGCAUCGCCGCUAGGGCAAAAAGAAGAAAGCUUUUUUUAAUAGAUUUGUAAGUUUUUUUUUAAUAAAUUUGUUCAGUAUUCAAUCUGAUUGGUCUGAGCCUCUAGCCCAUCACUGACAUCUCCCUUUUCCUUCACUAAUUAUUUUUCGAAAUUUGUCCUAUCACAAAGCUAUCGGCGAACCAGGAGUACAAAAUCAAAACUGACAACUAAAUUUGGAGACACAUCUAAAAGUAUAGAUAACCAAAAAUAAAUAAAUAAAUAAAAAUAAAUAAUAAAAAAAGCAAAAAAAUUUUGACUCUUUGAUUCUUCAUUGGUCCAACAAUUGUGGACUGAAUCUCCAAGUGCUUUAAGAUUUGUGCUAUUGGAGUCCAGUUGUGAACACCAAAAAAUAUAAAAAUAUUGUGUUCCAGUUAUGGGGCUUCAAACUUUGCAUGGAGAAAAAAUUAUUGGACACACAAUGGGCACAAAAAUAAAUGGGUUUUGCAAAAAGUAAUACAAUUAUUGUACUUUUUUUCUUUUUUUUUGCAACCCUAGUCAACUUUGUGUUUCUUGCAAUUUUGGAACAAAAUAUCUGAAAAGGAAUUUUCAACAAUAUAAACUAAAUUUUUUUUAAAAAAAAGUUCAUUUUAAUUAGAGCUAUCAAAAUUAACUAUUUCUAGGAUUAUUUAUUUGAUUAAUUUGGUUAUCUUUUUCUUAUGGAAUAGAAUCAUUAUCAUCCAACUCAUUACAAAAAUAUUUUUACAAAAUUCCGCGAUCAUCAAAAAAAGUGCAAGACUUAAAUUGAAGCAAAAUUUUAUAAUAAAAAGAUAAUUGAAACAUGAGAUAAAGUGGAAAGAGUUUUUUUUUCUUUUAAGACUUAAAAGUGAAACUCUGAAUAGUUGAAUGUGAUCUACAAUACUUGAAAAGGACAUUACGCAAUAAAACUCGUCAAAUAUUAUAAAGCCGUUGAUUUUUAUUACCACUUGAUACUUAACUCCUAAUGUUUCAAAGUAAUCAGAAAAAAUAGAAGCCUCGUUUGAUAUUAGUCUUUUUUCGCAUUUUAGAUAAACUUUUCAUAUAAAAUAAUAUAAACAUCUGAGGUAUUUAUUUGGCAACCAGAAAUAAAAGCCUAAAAGUAACUUUUUUUCACUUUAAAAUUUUUUAAAAAAAGUUAUUAUCAUCACUAACCAAUCAUAACAAUAAGAGAAAAAAAAAAAAAGUCUGCGUUCAGUACUUUUAAUCAGUAUAUCAAAUUAUAUAGUAUUAAAUAUUUAAAAAAAUUUAAAAAAAAAUUAAAAUGAUACCAAACAUGGCCUAAAAGUUUGUCGGCCCGUAAGCAAAAGCAGCUCAACCAUUUCUUUUGCCAUCUAUUUCACUUCAAAUUAAUAUAAUAUAUCCUUACACGAAUUUCUUUUUUCAUAAAUAAAUAAAAUAUAUUAUAAUCAUAAAAAUAGUCCCUCGAAAUUUUCUUUUAAAAAAUUAGGAGAACAAAAAAACGGUGAACGAAUCAUCAUUUUCUAAAUACUGCAAAUCUUUCACCGCUUUAUUCAAAAUAUUAAAACCAUUUAGAAAUGCUCAAAAAAGCGGUGAACAGCUUAUCUUUUUCUAAAACGGUAUAUAUUUGCUAAAGUUCGCACUUUCAGAAAUUUAAUACUUCGCUUGAAUGCAGCUAAUAAUUACUGUUUUUAAAAUGCGUCAACGAUUCACCGUGUUAUAAAAACAGAGAGAAACUUCAAAUGCCACCCCUGUGAUUUCACACUUUCUCACUUUAGUACCAUAUGGUUUAAAGUGUAUCAAUUUAGUGACAUGCGGUUUUAUUUUUGUCUUUUUAUUAUCGAUUCCACUAAUUUUUUCAUUAAAUUAGUGACAAAGUAAAAGCUAAAAGGUACUAAAGUGAAUAUCCGAUAAAUCUAGGUGGAGAAUUUGAAGUUUUUUGUAUAUAAUUUAAUGAAAUAUUAAUGAAAAAACUGACGAAAAGAUAAAACUGAAACCAUAGGACACUAACUUGAUACACUUUAAACCACAGGAUACUAAAGUGAGAAAGUGCAAAACCACAAUGGUGGUAUUUGAAGUUUACCCUAAAAGCAGUAAACAGUUUCCCCUUCUUCUCCCGACACCAGGUUACCAACUUCCUUGACCUUCCGGCACUGGGCAGGCGUCAACCCCCAUACAUGGUCUUACGACUUUGCGGAGACCUAUGUUUUUGGUAAACAGUCGCUCGGGCCUGGUCAAUGCGACCCCCUUUGUGAGGGGGCACCCCUUCUCCCGAAGUUACGGGGCUAUUUCUAAUAUUAAAAAUAGGCUAAAUUACAGAAAACCUCCCUGUCAAAGCUCGAUUUUUCACUUUCCUCCCCUGUCAUUUAAAAACCUACACUUUAUCCCAUUGUAAAAUGAAAAAUAUUCACAGGGGGUACGGUGUGAACUGUGAUGAUAAAAUGACCAUUUUGCCCCUCACCAUUUUGCCCCCACCAUGUUCACAGGAGAGAAAGCUAAGGGUAUUUUUGGCAUAAAAAUAUAUAUAAUAAUAUUUUAUAAACGGAACCCUAACGGAUUACUAACGGCAGGGGGCGAAGUGAACAUUUUUUUAUUUUAUAAGAGGGCAAAGUAUAGGUUUUUAAAUGACAGGGAGGGAAAGUGAAAAAUCGGAUUUUGACACGAGGGUUUGAUAUAAUUUAGCCUUAAAAAUAAGAGUUCCAAAGAUCUAUAUUUAUAAUUAAAAAUCUCUAUAGACUUACUUGCCAAAAAUUUCUUUCUUAGAUCGGUCAGAUCAUAACCUAGUGCCCAAACCGGUUUAGUUCAACCCAAAAACCAGACCGGCUUAAAACCCGCUUUGCCGACUCAAACUAGUGAUCAAAUCAGUGAAUCGUGGAACAAAACCCAAUUUUAGAAGAACCGGUCGGAUUUUUUUUUAUUUUAUAUUUCAAUAAUUAAGGGUAAACUUCAAAUACCCCCGUGAUUUCACAUUUUCUCACUUUAGUACUCUAUGAUUUAAAGUGUAUCAAGUUAGGCCCUAUGGUUUCGCACUUUCUUACUUUAGUACCCUGUGGUUUAAAGUGCAUCAAGUUAGUACCCUAUGAUUUCAUUUUUCUCUUUUCAUUAUCCAUUUCACUAAUUUCUUUUCAUUAAAUCAGUGACAAAGUUAAAAUUAAAGGGUACUAAAGUAAAUAUUCGAUAAACCUAGGUAGGGUAUCUAAAAUUUUUUGUAUAUAAUUUAGCGAAAUAUUAACAAAGGAAAAAAAAUCAGUGAAAAAAUUAAAACUAAAGAGUACUAAAGUGAGUAUUCGAUAAACCUAGAUAGGGUAUCUGAAGUUUUUUGUAUAUAAUUUAACGAAAUAUUAACAGAGGGGCCGACGAAAAAAAAAAAAUGAAACCACAGGGUACUAAAUUGAUGCACUUUAAAUCACAGAAUACUAAAGUAAGAAAGUGCGAAACCACAGGAUACUAAAUUAAUACACUUUAAACCACAGAGUACUAAAGUGAAAAAAUGCGAAACCACAGGGGUGGUAUUUGAAGUUUUCCCAAUAAUUAAUUAAGAAUAUGCAUUAGUUUUUUUUAAUAAUCUACACUUAUGAUACAUUUUUAAUUAUAUAGAGUGCAAUAAUAUUUAAAAAUAAUAUAGAGUACUAUAUCGGCAUAUAUUUUGUAAUAUUAUAUAUUAGUAUGAACAAAUAAUAAUUAAAUAUUUAUGACGCCAUAUUAAUGCCAUUCAGCAUGGUAGUGGUUGAACCACUGGUUGAAUCAGAGACCCGUCGAGAGCAGUAGGAUAACUUCAAGUUGAAAAGAUAGAAAAGAAUAAUAAUAUUUCCGUACAACUAUCCUUCCAGAAAGAAUCUCUGUUACAAAGAAGACUUUCUCCGCGAAAUGAGUCAAAGAUGCCGAAAAUGAGAAGAGCAUAAACUGCAGGAAUAAAGUUUAAGAUUACAAGCAUUCUUGCAACACAGAUUCUCUAUCCUUUCAGAACACAUAAUAAUGUUGAAGGGAAUCAGCAACCAUAUUCUCAUCUCCCAAGUGACAACAUGAGGAAUCAAUGUUUAAAUAAGAUGAUUCUGCGUGUCCGGCAGCUCUAAGCAACACACACCGCACGACGUAAAACGGAAGAAAAAGCAUCGACGGCAAGAAGCUGACUUUCUUUCGCUUCUGCUCAUUACCUGCGUUCUGGUGCGUCCAUUAGCCGGUCAUUUCCGUCUCUUUUGGGAAAAGAGACUGUAAUAUACGACGAAUCUGACGUAAGCAGCACUCAGAAGCAAGUUCUAAAGAAGUUCAAAGUUUACUCAGAAUUCAAAACAUCAGCAAGACUACUUGAAUCUGCAGAUCUUCUUGGCCUCUAGAAGCUCGAGAUAUUUCAUAGUUUCAACAAAAUAAUAAUUGCUUUAAUCGAACAACACUUUUUCACAAAGCUCUAGCCAUGCUAAACAGAACCGAAUUUGGAAAAUUGACUAUGGUGAGAAAUCCGUAAAAGGCGCAGGAAAUAAAACUUUGAACACCUCAAUGAUGUGUUUGCAACCUUUUGAUUUGUACACCUAUUGAACUAUAGAUUCAUACUGCAGGAUUUUUAUGAAUAGAAGCAGAAUUGACAUCCGACCUAGAUACCGAGAAGUAAAAAAUUGUGAAGUUUUCACUCGUCAGAACGGAAACACAAAAUACAUGGAUGGUUCGACGACAGGAGGAAGAUCAUACAGUGUCCGUAACAGUUAAAAGCGUUCAUCAACAUGCAAUUUGAUUUUGGUAUACUCAUUUGCAAAUUGCCAACAAAUUGAAACUUCCGAAGGGAAUCAAGGACUAAACAAGUGGUAAGACAGCAUAUUCAUCAGGGAAAAUCAUUCUUAUUAAUAAGAAAAAAGGGCUCUCUUUUCUCAUUUUCUUCAUAAUAUAAGAAUUUGCUUGAUGUUUUCGCUCGACCUUAUUUUCUCUAUCUUCUCAAGUAACAAAGUUGUAGCACAUCGACUAACAAAAUCAUUAAUCAAUUUCGCUUCAACUUUUGUUGCUAUUGUCAUUGAAAUCAGCAGAAUUUGCUAAGUCGAGAUUCAUAUACGCGCACAAUAAACAUCAAUUGUAUCUCUACAUAGCCUUUGAAUAUUUAUUGCAAAUUGGAAUGUUCUAGAGGAGUGACUAGCUCUCUCUCUCUUACCGUCAUUCCUAAUAUACAAGCAUUUAAGAAUAUGGUACAACCAUCAAAUUACUUCUAGAAGACAUCAUAAAUUGUGGCGUAAAAUAGAUUUACUCUACUAGCUUUAAGCCAGCGAAACUUUUUCCCUAAGAUCCAAACAAAAGGAACAGUAAGUGUCUCUUCCAUGGAGCAAAAGACAAAAUUGAAGUUAGAAAUAUCGAUUCAAUUGAACAAGUUAAUAAGUGAUCACUUCAUUCCAAGGCCAGGCGCAUAAGAAUUCCAAUCAAAAUAUUAGCAGUACGAGGGUGAAUAAAAUGCAAGAAUAUUCAUCUUAGCUCUUAUUCCCUGCCUUGCUUUCUUGCUCGAGCAUGUAAUUCUUCUUCAUGUCUUCCAAGACACUGUCAUUGGUGCUGUCAAAAAUAUAAAAAAAAAAAAUCAAAAGUGAAUAUACAAUUCCCUUCCAUUUGUAAUCACCUUUUAUCUAAAUGUCUGCACUAGGCGAUAAAUGGGCUAGUCACAUGCCAAUCAUUACAGCCUAUUUCCCUAGAAAUGUAUAUAAACCUUAUCCACUGCAUUCAAGUGAUAGUUUUAACACAUAUUGACAGAUUUGGACUAUAUACAGAUGUGCGCUACCUUGCAUUCUUUGUGCCACUUUGUUUAUAUAUCAUGAUAGUUAACAUUACUAGCAGGUACAAAGAUUCAUGAAAGAGUUUACUUUGACUAUUCCUAGCCGUGAAGCAUGGAAACUGGUAUAGGAUGCUGGUAUAAGGAUGCUGGUAUAAGGAUGUAAGAAUCUGGAGGUCCACAGAGAAGUAGGAUAAUGUUUGUUAGCAAAAUGCCAAUAUUACUUUUUUGUGUUUUUGCAUGAUUGUUCAUUUCUUUAAAAAAAUUGAUCAUCCACAUAGAAAUGUCCAGCAAAUAUGAUAACAAAUUUAAGUUAUAACGAAGACACUUGAAACAGUGAGAAAUUUAUUAAUCAAGACUUCCACAGCAUCAUAAACACCAAAUUUUGUUGUCUUACAAAUUUAUUGGAUAUAAUGAGUACAAGAUGUAAGUUCAUCAUCGAUUUACGAAGGAAUAUUUCCGACAAUACCUAAAUAAUCAAAACAAAAGUUAGAGGGAUAAUCACAAUAAACAUGUGAGAAAUAUAAACAUUCAUAAGCACAAAGUAUCACAGCCAAUUACUUAGGAAAAACCAGUGUAUUUAAGUAGCAACAGUAGAAGAGCAAUUCUACAGAAACAAUCAAAGAGGCAAAAGUUUGCAGAGUUAUAGCAAGUCUUGGAUAUUACAGUCAUUUUUUGCUUCACCAUAAUACAUACAAAACUUUUUGACCCCCUGAAAAAGGAGCCAAAGUUCUUCUGAUCUUUGACAAAAAGAUGCCACAUAUAUGAAACCCUUGUUGAAUUACUAGUAUACGCCAAUUGUCUCACAUCAAAUAAUGUAGGGACAUCAGAUUGGUGUAAAAGGACUAGCUCUCUAGUGUACACGACUUAGGGUUAAGCAUUUCGUCCCAAUGGUCUAAAUUUAACAAACUGUUAAUACUGGUGCUUUGGCCGGGCCCGUACAUAUAGCAUCAAAGCAACUCUCAAAGGUACUAUUAUGUGGAUUCAGCUGAUUGUCCGUUCAGAGUGUUGCCAUGGACAAGGGGAGCAAGACACCAAUGAUGAUGCAAUAGUUUGGUUGGCUUCGUGCUUCUAGAAACCCACACGGAUAUCUACUUCAGGGAAAGUAGGACAUGUAUGUGAAUCUGACGAGGAUAUCAAGGCCUAAACGGGGAUCUUGUGACCUCCUAAUUGUCAUGCAUUGGAUAGUGCGACGACAAUAAUGUGGUAUACAAUGACUAGCAUUCUAGUACUCGUAAUUUGAACUUACGUACUUUGGGCCAGUGGUUUAGGCCCAACGAGUUGCUAAUACUAGUGCAUUAGGUUGGACCAUAGAAUUCACCUUGUUGAUUGAUGAAUGGAAGAAGUAAAAUGCAAAAGAAUUUGUUAUACAAUAAGAUGGCGCUAGCAUUCUAUCUAUACUCACCAAAAUAUUGCCACCAUUUUAGUGUGAGCUGACAUACAACAAUUACAGCUCAUAUAGAUACAAAACAAAAUCAAAAGAGGGUAAAACAACAAAUAACAACCAAAACAGAUCAUCAAAUAGUAAUUUGAAAAGCAAAAAAUAUGACCAAAAAUGCAGAAUUUUGGAAUUUUCUAUCAAGUUUUGACCAGAACCUAUGAAAAGGCAAAAUUGAUCGAAACAGUUUGAACGAAAGCAUUAGUCCAUGGCAUCGAAAUCCCCAAUAUAUUAAAAAAAUUGAAAGUAAAGUCGAAUAUAGUGCUACGAAUGAACAUACUAUUGAUGCAGGCAUUCAUUCAACUCUUUCGCAUGUUUACGGCAUUGCCAUACUACAGAUAUAGUUCUUCCUGCAGCACAUUCAGCAUACUUUGCAGAGUAAUAAUUGCAUUCUUUGAGCGCCUUUUGCUUCAUUUUGCUGCGUAAAGCUGGGAAAAAUCUAAUUAGUAUUGACAAAGAAACUAAUUUGGAAAGUCGUAAAAAAACAUAUAUUAUUUCAGUUUGCCCUUUCCUACAUAAUAAAGUAAUAAGAUUUUUUUUGUUAAUACUCUCUGUACAUCUUUACCAUAAUGAAAUUUCAUACUCAUGAGUCACAUAUUUUCUUCUACAACAUGGAUCUUCUACUUUUGGUUGGUCUAACAGGCCAAGAAAUACUUUUCUAUAUUCUUUUCGCAGAAUAAUAUGAAAUUAUGUAAAAAUAUACAACACAAACAGAAAAGGCAUUCAAGGCGUUUAUAGUGCAAUACCAUGAAACAUGCCACGAAAGCAUAUUGUGAUAAAUUAACAAGAGUUCAUAAGAUAUUUCACUCAACUAGAGUUUUACUUUAAGAAAUAAAAGCAUUUAGGGCGUUUCAUAGUCCGAUAUCAUGAAACAUACACGAUUAAGUACCACAAAAACAUGUAGUCAUAAACUAACAAGAGUUCAUAAGAUAUUUCACUCAUCUAGAUGUUUACUUAAAACAUAAAGGCAUUUAUGUAAAUUGAAGCUCGAGUCUAGUCUCUAGUUCAUGGUGGAAUGGAAGUCGCAUAAAAGUUAGAUGUGGCAAUUUAGAAUUACACGCGUUAUCUUAUUGUCUUCGGUUGGUCUUGUCGAUCUCAUUAGCUCAACUAGAUUGACAAGAUGUCACCUUCUGUGACUGUCGUGCUUGGGAGAGAGAAAAAGAGAGAGAGGAGAAAGUAGAGGACCAAGGUUUAUUAGCAAUAACGUACAACAAGAUUAUCAACUUACAUUAGGUUGGAUUCAGUUUGAGAACUCAAAAAGUCAAAUUCCAUUUCAAGUUUCUGCAUAUCAAUGCUAUAGUAGGCUAUCAAACAUUGAAACCAGCAGGUGUGAUUUCGCCCUAGUUUGGUCGUUCCAUACUUCCAGUCAAGUGAGAUUUCUAGGUUUACAUAUUGCUUAAGCCUUGGGAAAGAGUUCAAAAAUAUAGUGGGCAUUUUUACAAGCCCAGCAAUCCAUGUAUCAUCACCAACUUACUAACUACGCUGUCAUCCUAUAAACUCACUUCCGAUUUCAUUGGUGUCACAUAAAUCUCCCUCCGCAAAGUAUCCCGGCCAAUACACUCUUGAAACCAAAGAUCAGUUCGAACACUUUGUUGAUGAUCGAACUUGUAAGAUGUUAUUUGCAUCAGAAGCCGUAAUAGGUUUUGCCCUUAAACGUCACUAACAGCUUCUAUUUAAAGCAGAGCAAGAGCUUACAAAGUGGAGACUCUUAUUCAAGGGAUGCAAAGUACAUUUCAGCUUCAAAGUGGAGCCAAAAUCUUGAGCAUUUUGAAUUUCAAAUGUCUGGUUUCUGUAUCUCAAUUUUUUUUCAGAAGCUCUUAGAAACAACAUAGCAAGCCCUAAAACUAGAACAUAAUAAUAAGUAGUAAAACUAAAAGCCUAGAAAAGAUUCAUGAUGACCUCCUCCUUUUUUUUCCUCUGAUUUUUGUUUCAUAAGUUAAAAUAUAAUUAAAAAAAAAAAAAAAAAAAAAAACUUAAAUUUCUAGUACCAGAUUAGAGAGACUUCAAACAUGAAACUAGCAAGGAACAGCUACUUUAACAAGACCAUCAUAGAUAAAACCCAUUUUUACAAUCCAUCCCUCUAUCUAAUCCCUCUAAAAAUAUUGCACAACUAUAACUUAGACCCUAUAUUCCAAUAACUAAAAAACUAUUGUCCCAAACCCUUCCUUUCAAAAGCUAAUCACCCAUGGUGUUUCUGAUGGUUCAAAAUUGAUCUUGCAUCCAUAUAUCUCAAAUUAAAAAAAAUAAAAUAAAAUAAAAUAAAAGGUGGAUCAAAAAUGAGAUUUUGAGGGGAGAAAGGAGGGGGCUGUGAGUAGGGCUUUUACCUUCUUCCACCUUCUUCUUGACAUGGUUUUCUCUAGCUUCUUGGAUAUACCCCAUUACAGAGAGAGAGAGAGAGAGAGAGAGAUUGUUGUUCUUUAAUUAGAAGAGGGGAGAAUAAGAGUAGAGAGAAGAGAAGAAGACCACCCUUGAUCUUACUGGGCCAGAGUCCACAACAUGAAAAGAAAUCCCAGCAUUGCUUUAAUGGCCUUUAAUGGGCUUUAAUGGGCUGUGUUAAACUAGAACCCAAGUCAAGAUUGAGACUUUGGGCCCAAAAAGAUUUGGAUUUGUAUAUACAAGCCCAGAACAUACUCUUUUAGGUUGGCCUAGGAAGCUCUACUUUUGGCUACCAGGUCCUCAAAAAUUUCUACUUCUAGAGUUCAAAACCAAAAAGAAUAAAUAAACGAGUCCUAGUUGAUAUCUGAGAUCUCAAAUUUGAAUCGCACUUUAUUCAUAUUUCUGGCAAAGUUCAUUUCUAAAAGAAAUAAACGAAGCGUGUAGUAUUUUAUCUUUCUCUCUCAAAAAAAAAAAACAAAAAACAAAAAAAAAUGAAGAAAAGAAAGUAAAUUGUGGGGCUAGUAUCUAGAAUUUUGUUGAGUUUCGCAUUGGUAUUCAAACUUUGAUGUUGAGAAUACAGUG